CACCGCGGUUAUACGAGAGGCCCAAGUUGAUAUUUACCGGCGUAAAGAGUGGUUAUGGAACAUGCUAACUAAAGCCGCACCCCUUCAAAGCUGUUAUACGCAUAUGAAGGAGAGAAGCCCACCCACGAAAGUGGCUUUACUACGCCUGACCCCACGAAAGCUAUGGCA
rnacentral:rRNA from 1 species